AAACAUGGCAGUGUUCAGAAACAGACCCACCUUCACCAUUGCACAUACUGAAUCAGUUGCUGUCUAUAUUGUACAUGACUUUGUAGAGUGCAUUGUUCCUGUAAAUGGAAAAACUUGACACAAAGCGAACCUGUCUUCUUUCUAGUUUGUUCAUCUUCAAUAUGGCCGUACUGGUUGGGGCACUCGUUAUUGAAAUUAGGAGCCAGAAACAGAGCGGAACAGGAUCAGGACGGAAGUUAUCACUGGAUAAGCAGGACAAUCCUAUCAAGCAUAUGAUGAUGAUACUGGGAACGACCAUCCAGAUUUGCAGUUUCUCAAUCUGCUGAAACCAGUUGCACAUUUCUCUGGCCUUGACUUUGACAGAGGAACCACAGGUAUGUCAUCAUCUAUUAUACGUUGCAUAUAAUUCAGUACAUUUAUUCAGUUAGUUAUGUGCGUGUAUGUUUCACCGACAUAAGGAACAAAUCAGAAUAUGUAUAUCCAACCUCGAAGUAUAAUUACGUAUGCAUUAUCUAAUACACAACUGUUUCAAACGCGAUUUUGAACCAGGUCAUGAAAAACAGUGAGAGAAUGACUUUACGUUUACGUUGGUUUUAGCAAUAUUUCAGCAA